UACAGAGGGGCAAGCGUUGUUCGGAAUUACUGGGCGUAAAUGGCGCGUAGGCGGCCUGUUAAGUCGAACGUGAAAUCCCCGGGCUCAACCCGGGAACUGCGUCCGAUACUGGCAGGCUUGAAUCCGGGAGAGGGAUGCGGAAUUCCAGGUGUAGCGGUGAAAUGCGUAGAUAUCUGGAGGAACACCGGUGGCGAAGGCGGCAUCCUGGACCGGCAUUGACGCUGAGGCGCGAAAGCCAGGGGAGCAAACGGG
rnacentral:rRNA from 1 species